rnacentral:rRNA from 1 species
UACGUAGGGGGCAAGCGUUAUCCGGAUUUACUGGGUGUAAAGGGAGCGUAGACGGCAUGGCAAGUCUGGAGUGAAAACCCAGGGCUCAACCUUGGGAUUGCUUUGGAAACUGUCAAGCUGGAGUGCCGGAGAGGUAAGCGGAAUUCCUAGUGUAGCGGUGAAAUGCGUAGAUAUUAGGAGGAACACCAGCGGCGAAGGCGGCUUACUGGACUGCAACUGACGUUGAGGCUCGAAAGCGUGGGGAGCAAACAGG